rnacentral:rRNA from 1 species
UACGUAGGGGGCAAGCGUUGUCCGGAUUCAUUGGGCGUAAAGAGCGUGUAGGCGGCCAGGUAGGUCGGUUGUGAAAACUGGAGGCUCAACCUUCAGAGGUCGACCGAAACCAUCUGGCUAGAGUCCGGGAGAGGAGAGUGGAAUUCCUGGCGUAGCGGUGAAAUGCGCAGAUAUCAGGAGGAACACCGAUGGCGAAGGCAGGUCUCUGGGCAUUAACUGACGCUGAGGAGCGAAAGCAUGGGGGAGCGAACAGG